rnacentral:sRNA from 1 species
AGUGAACUUCGUUUGAAACGGAAAUCCUUUUUCUUUUUCCUUUAAAAAAAAAUUGAAGUGUAAAGUGCAAUUAGCU